GACGAACGCUGGCGGCGUGCUUAACACAUGCAAGUCGAACGAAGAGCGAUGGAAGCUUGCUUCUAUCAAUCUUAGUGGCGAACGGGUGAGUAACGCGUAAUCAACCUGCCCUUCAGAGGGGGACAACAGUUGGAAACGACUGCUAAUACCGCAUACGAUCUAAUCUCGGCAUCGAGGGUAGAUGAAAGGUGGCCUCUACAUGUAAGCUAUCACUGAAGGAGGGGAUUGCGUCUGAUUAGCUAGUUGGAGGGGUAACGGCCCACCAAGGCGAUGAUCAGUAGCCGGUCUGAGAGGAUGAACGGCCACAUUGGGACUGAGACACGGCCCAGACUCCUACGGGAGGCAGCAGUGGGGAAUCUUCCGCAAUGGACGAAAGUCUGACGGAGCAACGCCGCGUGAGUGAUGACGGCCUUCGGGUUGUAAAGCUCUGUUAAUCGGGACGAAAGGCCUUCUUGCGAACAGUUAGAAGGAUUGACGGUACCGGAAUAGAAAGCCACGGCUAACUACGUG
rnacentral:rRNA from 1 species